UAGUCUGUAUAUGUAUUAUUGUUGUUUGUUUACGUUUUGUUGUUGUUUGCAUAUGUAUUUGUUGCUAUUUGUAUAUGUAUUGUUGUUUUUUGUAUAUGUUUUGUUGUUGUCUGCACAUGUUUUAUUGUUGUUUGCACAUAUUUUAUUGUUAUGUGCAUAUAUUUUAUUGUUAUGUGCAUAUGUUUUAUUGUUUCUUUAUUUAUUGUUGUUGUCUACACAUGUUUUAUUAUUGUUUGCAUGUUUUGUAGAUGUUUGAAUGUUUUGUUGCUGUUGUUUGUAUAUGUUUGUAUAAAUUUGUUGUUGUUUGCAUACGUUUUGUAGUUGUUGUUUAUGUCUUGUUGUUGCUUGCACAUGUUUUGUUGUUGUUUUUUGCAUAUGUUUUGUAGUUGUUUGCGCAUGAUUUGUAGUGGUAUGUAUAUGUUUUGUUGUUGUUUGUAUAUGUUCUGUAGUUGUUUGUUUAUCUUUUGUUGUUGUUUAUUUAUGUUUUGUUGUUGUUUGUUUAUGAAUUGUUAUGAGUCAAAUGUUGGUGGUUCAGGUGUAGUCUAUUUUUUGAAUAUAUCUUUGUUUUUAAUAAUUCCUGCUAUUGUUUUGAUGCAUUAUAAAGAAUGAUUUCUACUAAUUAGAAUCAUAAUACGUUUCAAUUAAAGGGGCAUUAAAAAUUC
rnacentral:lncRNA from 1 species